rnacentral:rRNA from 1 species
UACGGAGGAUGCAAGCGUUAUCCGGAUUUAUUGGGUUUAAAGGGUGCGCAGGUUGUUUGAUAAGUCAGUGGUGAAAGUCUGUCGCUUAACGGUAGGAUUGCCAUUGAUACUGUUGGACUUGAAUAUGGAUGAGGUAGGCGGAAUGUGUAGUGUAGCGGUGAAAUGCAUAGAUAUUACACAGAACACCGAUUGCGAAGGCAGCUUACUAAUCCAUCAUUGACGCUGAGGCACGAAAGACGUGGGGAGUCAACAGGA